rnacentral:miRNA from 1 species
AGACCUUUGCUCUGUGUGGAAGA